rnacentral:lncRNA from 1 species
GCUGUUAUGGCUGGAAUCUGGGAUAACUCAGGCUCAUGUUCUGGAGCGUGGGUCCUUUCCUUGCAGUGUUGUUUAGAUGACUGUGAAGCCAUUAGGGUGAAGCCGGGCUGGCAGAAGUAGGUGUCUAGGAGCAGGCAGGCCCUGAAGGCUAUACCCUUUCCCGGCUCCUGGUGGGCUGCUUUACCUCCUGUGAACAGGACACCCAUCUCUGCUACUAUGGACUGACACUGUGUGUGUGUGCGCGUGCGCACACGCGCGCGCGUGUGUACACAAGAGGACAAUUUCUGGAAGUCAAUUGUCUCCACCAUAUUGGCCCUAGGGAUUGACUCACUAGCUUGACUCAGUGUCUUUACCCACUGAGUUCCAGUAAGUCAGAAGUACUCUUUUAAGAAAUAGCAACUUAGGGCCUGGAGUGACGGCUCAGGGGUUAAGAGCACUGACUGCUCUUCCAGAGGUCCUGAGUUCAAUUCCCAGCAACCACAUGGUGGCUCACAACCAUCUGUAACAGGAUCCGAUUUACAUAUAAUAAAUAAAUAAAUCUUAAAAAAAAGAAAUAACUUAAUUCUCAAGUACGUACACACACACACACACACACACACACACACACACACACACACACACUCUCUCUCUCUCUCUCCUACCUUAUCCCAAGCUACCCUAAACUCACCAUGUAGACUAGGAUGACCUUGAACUUGCUGAGAUCUGCCAGUCCAGAGCCAGGGUACUGGGAUUCAAGUAUCCCACCAAAGAGGAAAAUAAGCAAAUGUACAAGGAUUAGAUAGACAUUGCCCAUAAUUAAUUAAAAUUCAGUGUUUUCUGAGAGUGGAAAUAUUGUCAUGAAAUAUUCCCUUUUGCAGCAAUGCUCAGAUCUGCCUCUUUAGAAUGGUCUUUCUUUUUGAAUGUUGCUAAUGGUGUACUGGCUGGUUUUGUGUAUCAAUUUGGCACACGCUAGAGUCAUCAGAGAGGAAGGACCUUCAGUUGAGAAAAUGCCUCCAUGAGCUCCAGCUGUAAGACAUUUUCAUAAUUAGGGAUCAGUGGGGCUAGCGCCAUUGUGGGUGGUACCACUCCUGGACUGGUGGUCCUGGGUCCUAUAAGAAGGCAGGCUGAGCAAGCCAGGGGAAGCAAGCCAGUGUGGGGUGGGGGCACCCCACUCAUGGUCUCUGCCUCAGCUCCUGUCUCCAGGUUCCUGCUCUGUCUGAGUUCCUGUCCUGGCUGCCUUUGGUGGUGAACAUGACUGCUGUGUGAUUGCCUGUCUGUCACUCGGGCUUUAUGGUAUCCCAGGGCAUUCAGAAUUGGGAGGUGCAUAAUGGAGUGUUAUUUAAGCCAUAAAUAAUGAACAGAAUGGAAUUGUGUCCUUUGCCAGAAGACAGAUACCCUGGAGGUCAUCCUGUGAAACGCAAUCAGCCAGACUCAGAACAGUCACCUCAUACUGGUAUUUCAAAGGUCUUGGCUCUCCUGACUCUAUGCCCAUCGUGAGGCAGAGCAUAGCAGAGGUUGAAGCAUGUACAAAGCCUUCUUGGCACAUGGGACAAAGAGGCAGAGACACCACUUUGUUCUGAGAUUGGUCUUACUGUGUAGCAAAGACUGACCUGGAAUUCAUGCAGCUCAGUUUGGUCUUGAGUUCAAGACCCAACUGCCUUAGCAGUUCUGGGUGUGUGCUAGGAAGUGUUCUCAGAUAAUGUUUUCAGAGCACGAGACACCUUCAUGUGUAGGCUAUCAUGAGUCAACUAACCUUUCUGUGGCUGGACCCUGCAGGUAAGGGGUGGAGCGCAGGGCAGAGGAGAGACUUCUGGCACUCUAAGGAGCCUGUGGACCACCUAGAUUCUUACCUGCUGCUAACAUUUCCACACCACAGGCACCCUCUAGCCUAUGGCAGCUGGGAACUUAUUUUUGCUUUCAAGAACCCAGUGAUAGGUCUGUUUCUCAAAUACAGCUGAUGUGGCUGACCUUGAGUGAAAGGAGACUGAAGGUUUUAGGAGACCCCAGUAUGUAGACCUGACUGAACUUGCCCCUGAAGCUGACAGCCCAUUGCAUACUCUUCACAUGAAUGAGAAAAAGGUGCCUGUUGUAUGUGGAGGCCUUUAACCCAGAUCCCCUGAGGCCGGAGCCCAUGUGAGGCACAACUACAUGACCACAUAGGGUGAUGUGAUGGUUUGCAUAUUUGGCCCAGGGAGUGGCACUAUUAGAAGGUGUGGCCUUGUUGGAGGAAGUGUGUCACUGUGGGGGGGUGGGCUUGGAGACCCUCCUCCUAGCUGCCUGGGGAUGCUCAGUCUGUUCCUGGCUUCCUUUGGUUGAAGAUGUAGAACUCAGCUCCUCCUGCACCAGGCCUGCCUGGAUGCUGCCAUGCUCCUGCCUUGAUAAUGGACUAAACCUCUGAUCUGUAAGCCAGCCCUAAUUAAAUGUUGUCCUUU